GGUUGAUCCUUGCACCAUGACUGCCACUAGUCUUCUUCUGUUUGUAUCCCUGGGAAGUAUCGAUCACUGUGACACCGAGCUGAGCCUCAGCCCCGGCGGCGUGUAUCAUCGCCACUCUUCCUACUCCGACACCUCUGCCAGUUCAAGCAGAGUGGAGGAGAAGGCAGCCGGGAAAGCACCACAGCCGCCGGAGCAGCAGAUUACCAUGUUCUACAAUGGUCAGAUCUGGGUCUGCGACGUGACGGAGAUUCAGUUAUGGAACAGAGGCGUUGCAGAGAGAACGGAACUCGACGCAUGAAUAUAACUCGUGUCGUGUUUCGGAAGCUUUGGGUUGCUCAUCGCUGAGAGGUGUUGCAGGCGAGAGCCAUCAUAAGCUCGGCCAAGCGGGAGAUGGAGGACGUGGAGGCUCAGAAACAGAGCAGCCGACGACAGGGCUCGUCGUUUCCUCCUCCGGACGCGACGCCGUCUGCGCCGACACGGCCGCCGCCGCUGCUGAAUCGAAGCCUGUCGAUGAAGCGAUCGCUGCAGAGGUUUCUGCAGAACAGGAAGACGAGGGCCGUAUAGUCCUCCCCUUACAGCCAUCAUCACGAAACUGCCAUCUGAACUUGUUUGCUGCACGGUUGUUGUAUUGGCUCUUUGUUCUCCAGUUAAUAUGGACUUUGAUGGAUUCAUGUUCGUGCA